UACAGAGGUCUCAAGCGUUGUUCGGAUUCAUUGGGCGUAAAGGGUGCGUAGGUGGCGUUGUAAGUGGGGUGUGAAAUCCCGGGGCUUAACCCCGGGACUGCAUUCCAUACUGCGGUGCUUGAGGACUGGAGAGGAGACUGGAAUUUACGGUGUAGCAGUGAAAUGCGUAGAGAUCGUAAGGAAGACCAGUGGCGAAGGCGGGUCUCUGGACAGUUCCUGACACUGAGGCACGAAGGCCAGGGGAGCAAACGGG
rnacentral:rRNA from 1 species